UCAAGAAUGAGAGUUCAUUUCAGAAACAUCCAAACAAUCAGAGACAUGAUCCUUUGGGUGAAUCUCCUCCUUCUGUUUCUAGUCCUCUCAGGUUGCCAUUCUCAGGUUCUGCUGGUGGAGACAGGAGGCACAGUUGUUGCACCUGAAGGCACCCUCCGUCUUUCCUGCAAGGCUUCAGGAUUCACUUUUUCUAGUCAUGAAAUGCAUUGGAUUCGUCAGCCAGCAGGGAAAGGACUUGAAUGGGUGGCUGGAGUAAGUGGCAGUGGAAGUAGCCAGUGGUAUAAUCCUAAGGUCUGGGGCAGGUUCACCGUCUUCAGGUACAAUUCUCAAGCUUCAGCCUAUCUGCAGAUGACAAGCCUAAAGUCUGAAGACUCUGCCAUGUAUUACUGUGCAAGAUACACAGUGAUUGCAGUUGGACAACACUUUAACUACUAUGGCUAUGGAAUUCUGGGA